GACAGAGUCAGUCCUCACCUGAGCCCUGCAGAUGUUGAGGUCAUAUCUGCACCUGUUAAUCUUGAUCUUCAGCUGGAUACAGAUGACACAACCGACCAGCUGCAACCAAGAGAUGUGGCUUCCUCACCUGAAGGCAGUGUUUAUGGACUCGAUUCAGAUCUGGAAGAUCUUGGAGAGGAUGAACCAGUGAGAGAGACAUGUUUUCACAAAGACAUGGACUCAGUGCUCAUGUCAGCAGGUACAACAACGAAGGCUGAAGCACUGAUCAUGAUAAUGAGUCAUGCAGCAAGGCACAAUAUAACAGGGACACAACUUGAUGAUUUAUUAAAACUCAUAAAUACUCUGUUUGGCAAAGAGGUGCUACCAAGAUCAAAAUAUUUGUUCAACAAGGUCUUUCAAAACAACUCAGACAGCGUGGAGUUUCACUACUAUUGCAAAACCUGUAAAGUAUAUAUUGGCACAAAGGGAGACAUAAAAGACAAAAACAUUUCACAGUGUUCAAUUUGUACUACUUCUGUUGAAAUUGAUUCAAUGAACAGUUCAAGUUUCUUUAUCAACAUACCAAUUGCACCUCAAAUUCAGACACUUUUAGAAACUCCUCAGAUUCAAGACAACUUGAGCUACAGACACCAAAGGCCACAAAAUGAUCAUGUGAUCUCUGACAUCUUUGAUGGCGAAAAGUAUCAAAACUU